rnacentral:SRP_RNA from 1 species
GGUCAAGUUCCGUGCGGCUUUGACAAACCCAACCCCGCCAGGUCCGGAAGGAAGCAACGGUCAGUUUGCUUAAAGUGCGAUACGGUCAGCUUGACCGUU